rfam:Gongylonema pulchrum genome assembly, scaffold: GPTH_scaffold0022579
AAGCACGAUGAUGUUUACUCAUCUUUCGGGUCUGACAGCAACUGAAGACAGCAAACAAUACUGAGUGCUU